GAGAGGAUGAUCAGCCACACUGGGACUGAGACACGGCCCAGACUCCUACGGGAGGCAGCAGUAGGGAAUCUUCGGCAAUGGACGGAAGUCUGACCGAGCAACGCCGCGUGAGUGAAGAAGGUUUUCGGAUCGUAAAGCUCUGUUGUAAGAGAAGAACGAGUGUGAGAGUGGAAAGUUCACACUGUGACGGUAUCUUACCAGAAAGGGACGGCUAACUACGUGCCAGCAGCCGCGGUAAU
rnacentral:rRNA from 13 species